rnacentral:tRNA from 1 species
GGCCGGCACCGGCGCGGCUCCGGUCGAUGCCGGCACAGCUUCGGACUGCGCCGGGGCGGUCCGCUCAGCCGCCUCCGUCCCAGUCGGCUGCCGGCCG